AUUGAACGCUGGCGGAAUGCUUUACACAUGCAAGUCGAACGGCAGCACGGGGCAACCUGGUGGCGAGUGGCGAACGGGUGAGUAAUGCAUCGGAACGUACCUUUCAGUGGGGGAUAACGUAGCGAAAGUUACGCUAAUACCGCAUAUUCUGUGAGCAGGAAAGCAGGGGAUCGCAAGACCUUGCGCUGAUUGAGCGGCCGAUGUCAGGAUUAGCUAGUUGGUGAGGUAAGGGCUCACCAAGGCGACGAUCUGUAGCGGGGCGGAGAGGAUGAGCAACCACACUGGAACUGAGUCACGGUCCAGACUCCUACGGGAGGCAGCAGUGGGGAAUUUUGGACAAUUGGGGCAACCCUGAUCCAGCCAUGCCGCGUGAGUGAAGAAUGCCUUGGGGUUGUAAAGCUCUUUCGGCCGGUAAGAAAUCGCACGGGCUAAUACCCUGUGUGGAUGACGGUACCGGAAUAAGAAGCACCGGCUAACUACGUGCCAGCCGCCGCAGUAACAC
rnacentral:rRNA from 1 species